UUCGAUAGAGGUGCGGAUUUUGAAGAGUAGUUUUUCCUUUUCGGACGGUCGUUGUCCGGAAAAGCGAAAGGCAAAUCCGCCGAGGCUACGUUGUUUUCGACCGAUAGCGUUUGCCGGGAGACAGGGAAAUACCUUGUUUACUGUCACAGUUUUGUGGAGCGCUAUCG
rnacentral:ncRNA from 1 species